CAGAUCAUGCUGCAGCUUCAU
rnacentral:miRNA from 1 species